rnacentral:rRNA from 1 species
GUGCCAGCCGCCGCGGUAAUACGUAGGGCGCAAGCGUUGUCCGGAAUUAUUGGGCGUAAAGAGUUCGUAGGCGGUCUGUCGCGUCCGUUGUGAAAGCCCAGGGCUCAACCCUGGGUCUGCAGUGGAUACGGGCAGACUAGAGUCAGGUAGGGGAGAACGGAAUUCCUGGUGUAGCGGUGAAAUGCGCAGAUAUCAGGAGGAACACCGGUGGCGAAGGCGGUUCUCUGGGCCUGUACUGACGCUGAGGAACGAAAGCGUGGGGAGCGAACAGGAUUAGAAACCCCUGUAGUCC